GGCGGCAUGCCUAACACAUGCAAGUCGAACGCCUGUAGCAAUACAGGAGUGGCGCACGGGUGAGUAACGCGUGGGAACCUGCCCCGAGGUGGGGGGUAACCGAUGGAAACGUCGGCUAAUACCGCAUACGACCUAAGGGUGAAAGAUUUAUCGCCUUGGGAGGGGCCCGCGUCGGAUUAGCUAGUUGGUGGGGUAACGGCCUACCAAGGCGAUGAUCCGUAGCUGGUCUGAGAGGAUGAUCAGCCACACUGGGACUGAGACACGGCCCAGACUCCUACGGGAGGCAGCAGUGGGGAAUAUUGGACAAUGGGCGCAAGCCUGAUCCAGCAAUGCCGCGUGAGUGAUGAAGGCCUUAGGGUUGUAAAGCUCUUUCGGCGGGGACGAUAAUGACGGUACCCGCAGAAGAAGCCCCGGCUAACUUCGUGCCAGCAGCCGCGGUAAUACGAAGGGGGCAAGCGUUGUUCGGAAUUACUGGGCGUAAAGGGCGCGCAGGCGGCUCGUUAAGUCAGAUGUGAAAGCCCCGGGCUCAACCUGGGAAUAGCAUUUGGGACUGAUGGGCUA
rnacentral:rRNA from 1 species